GGAGGGAUGGCAGAGCGGACGAAUGCGGCGGUCUUGAAAACCGUUGAGGUGCAAGCCUCCGGGGGUUCGAAUCCCCCUCCCUCCG
rnacentral:tRNA from 1 species